UUUGGUCUUGCCUUGGUUACUAAUUUUGUCUUUGUUUUCCAAUGCAGCUUUUCAUUCUGUCCUAUGCGCCGAGGGUCGCAUGGAAGCAGCCUCUCUGCCCUUUUGGGUAGGGGUAAGACUGCCUACAUAUUACCCUCCCCAGACCCUACCUGGUGGGAGUAUACUGGGUAGUUGUUGUUGUUGUUGUUGUUGUAUAAUGUUUCCUUGGAAGAGCCAGCUUAAUCAUUUCCUGUUCUGCCGUCGUUUUGUACUUUAGAUCUUUGGUUCCGAAUCAUCUUCUUGCUCAUAUCCUUUUUGUUUUUCUUUUGUGAUGGAUGCAAAUUGAACAUAUAAUGUGAAAUACAAAAGGCAAUAUCGACGAGUUAUUCAAAUUUAACAAUUAUAUGCUUGCAUAAAGUAAAAUCUUAAUCCCCUUUAUAUUAAUUAAUGGGUUCAUAGCUGGAAAACAAAUUAAAGUAUUGAAAUGAACAAAGAGGUUAACCAAUUAAUUAACCACUAAGUGAAGCUUUGUACUCGUAAGUAAAGCAGAUUUGGAGCUUAACAUACAUACACAUCAUGAAUGAAGUUAUUCUUACGAAUUAUAUAAAUGUGAAAAAUAAAUACUGUGGGGGGUUUUUCUGUGGAAAAAAAUAAAAAAUAAAAUUUCCUCGUACAGAUUGUGAAUUUAAAGAUGAGAAAAAUCAUUUUUGCAAUCAUCGUCUGCUUUGUGUAUCAAACUUAGAUCGAGCAUAUACUCGAAUAAAAUUUUGGCAACCAAUAACACAGUGAAACAUUGAUAUGUGUUGCUUUCAAAUCAAAACUAGAAUUAAUUGAACAUUAAAAAAGAAAUCAAUUUCAAUUCUACUACCAAAGCAAGGAGGCAUAAAGUGGGACCAAACAUUUACUGAACCAAGAUGAACCAGAUACAUGUUAUGUUCUAAUGCAAUUGACAAAUAAAAGAAACAAAACAAAAAAAAAAAUAGAGGAAAAAAAAAAGGAAAGAUGGUUUCAAAAUCAUGUUUUGAAGAAAAAAGAGAAAAGAAAAAGAAAACAAGCAUAUGUUAAUCAUCUUCCAAUAUUUUUUAGAGAUGGUCCAUAAAUUCAUAACCAAGAAAAAAGUGGAAAAGAAUGGGUGACCUGAGUUGGUAUAUCUAGCCAUGAAGCACAGUAACAUUUGCUAGAUUGAACUAUCAUUUAUAGGUGCAAAAUCCAAAGGGCAAAAAAGGAAAAAUAAAAUGACAAAAUGAGAUUUGGGAAUAAUCAAACUCACCAGCACAUAAUCACUGUCUUUCAUUGUGAAAAAUGACUAGCAAAAAUGGAUUGAAUUAAGUGAAAAAGCAAAAGUGGCGUUUCUUUCGUGCUCGUAUGACUCUUCUUGACCCUUGAGCUAUUUCUUUAUAAUUAGAGUUAAAUAAAAAAGUAAAAUAGUAUCGUCUCUAUUGAGAUAUUCUCUUGAAUGCUUGAAUUUAACGAAUAACUAAAUUAGUCAAUGUCGCUUGUGUAUAUAUACACACACUCUUGGUUGCUGAGUUGUUUUCUCGGAAACCGUGUCUGUUUAAUUUUCGACAAUUUAAAUUUACUCCUUAUUGAAUAAAUGUGAUAAUUGCUUUUAAAGUGCAACUAUAUAAAUAGACGCGAGUUUAAAUCAAUUAUUGUCAAGAAUUUGUUUUAUGCGUUGCGGAAAUAGUAAUGUCUAAUACUAAUUGAGAAAGUUAUUAAUAUCUAUUAUUUAUUUCUUACACAUUUGGUACUUAAUUAUGUCUUAUUUUAAAAUUGUAUAGUGUUUCAUGUGUUUUAACUUUGAACAAUAUAUUCUUCUCAAUUUUUAUACUAUUUCACUUUGGAGAUUUUCUUUUGGUUACUGGGAAAUAUUAUUAAUAGUAUUAUUAAUAAUAUUUCACUUUGAAGAUUAAGAUUCUAACAUUCAAAUAUAGUAUUUUAUUUCUUAAUAGAUUUAUUCUUUAGGAAAACAAUUAAUGAUGGCAGUAUUCUUAUGCUAAUUCACAAAUAUCUACCAUUCUAAGAUUAUGUCAAGAUGAAUUCAAAUAGUUCUAAAAAAUUAAUUAGAUUUGCUAAGACUCACUGCUUAAUUAAUAAGUGUCUACAGUCUUAUAAUAUGAUAAAAAUUAAUUCAAAUAUUUUUCAAAAAGUUAAUCAGAUUUACAAUCCAAUUUAAACAAUCAGAUUCACUACCCAAUUUAAUGAGUGUCUAGCAUUCUUAGAGUUUGACCAAAUAAAUUUAUACAGUUCUCAAAAAAGUUAAUCAAAUUUAGUAUCCAAUUUGAACAAUUGGAUUCUCUAUAAAUUUUAAGUAGACUAUUAAAUUGUGAUAAAUAUAUUAUUUAUGGAGACGUUUUCUUACAAGAAAAAAUAUUGUACUUAAAACAAAAAAAAUAGAAAUUUAAAUUACAAAAAAAAAGUUAAACAAAAAAAUAAAUUGUGCGGGUGGGGGUGGGGGGNNNNNNNNNNNNNNNNNNNNNNNNNNNNNNNNNGGGGGGGGGGGGGUGGGGGAGGAUUAGGGCAAGUGGUGGGUGGUGAAGAAAACCGAAAAAAUUUGAAAUUUGAAGUUGCAAAAAAAUAAAAUUAAGAUAAAAAAUAAUAAUUUUUUUGCGGCGGGAAUGGGGUGGAGGGGUAGUAGAUUGGAUGGUAAAGAAAAAUUAAACUUUGAAAAGCUUUUUUUGGUGAGAGGAUGUAGUUGGUUGGUGAGGGUGGGGAAGGUCAAAAAGGAGUUCUGGAAAAUAUUUUCGCUUAUCUUGAUAAGGAAAACAUUUUCCUCCAAAUGCAAAUAAACAUGGAAAAAUUGAAAAACAUUUGACGAAAAAUAUUUUCCUUCGUACCAAGCAAACCCUUAGAUUGCGUUAAAAGUUUAUAAUGUCCUACUUCGGGGCCGGAUGUAGAAAACAUCAAGUCCUCCUCCCCCCCCCCCUCUCUAUAUAUGUAUAUAUAUAGAGAGAGUCAAUCUUAAGCUGAAUUGAGAAAUAUGCAUUAUUUUUUUCUCAAUACAAUGAUCGAAGAACUUAUGAACAAUAACAACAACAACUACCCAGUAUAGUCCCACAAAGUGGGGUCUGGGAGGGUAAUAUGUAGACGAGCCUUACCCCUACCCGAAAUGACAGAGAGGCUGUUUCCAAUCGACCCUCGGCUCAGUGAAGGAAAGGAAAAAUAAAAACAAAAACAAAAGAGCAUUAGUAUAGUCCCACAAAGUGGGGUCUGGGAGGGUAAUAUGUAGACGAGCCUUACCCCUACCCGAAAUGACAGAGAGGCUGUUUCCAAAUCGAAGAACUUAUGAAUAUAAAUAAAAUGAAUUAAAUGAAGAAACCAGUUGAUCAGUGUCUUUCUCGUGUUUAUAUGUCUUUCUCUUAGCUUUUGAUUGUUGAUUUCUCAUCGAUGUAAUCAAGAUCAAAAGGGCUUUGAGAAUGCAACGAUAUGAAAGAGGUUUGUAUAUGGGUGAAAUUGGGGAUAAUACAAAUUUCAAGUUUUCGAUGAAUAAAACAAAGUGAGGACAUGAACAUACGAGAACAAAAUCAAAGCUGGGAACUCUUUGUAUCAAAGCCCAUAAAAAGUGAACGAAGUGCUCGCUGUUGGAUUUGAUAAAAUGAUGCAACCCGGGCUCAAAACGAGUUCUAAGACUUCGGAAAGUCCAAUGAGCAGUUGUACACAACGGAUAGAGAGCUAUAGUAUUCGCAACCAAUCGGAUAUCAUGGCGCGAAUCUUACUCGAUGACAGUCACAGAUCAAUAAUUAAUGAGAGGGAAGAUUUUUUAGU
rnacentral:lncRNA from 1 species